rnacentral:rRNA from 1 species
GACGAACGCUGGCGGCGUGCUUAACACAUGCAAGUCGAACGAAGUGGCGAACGGGUGAGUAACGCGUAAUCAAGCUGCCAUUCAGAGGGGGACAACAGGUGGAAACGACUGCUCAUACCGCAUACGGAAGAAGGGGAUUGCGUCUGAUUAGCUAGUUGGAGGGGUAAGGGCCCACCAAGGCGAUGAUCAGUAGCCGGUCCGAGAGGAGGAACGGCCACAUGGGGAAUGAGACACGGCCCAGACUCCUACGGGAGGAAGCAGGGGGGAAUCUUCCGCAAUGGACGAAAGUCUGACGGAGCAACGCCGCGUGAGUGAUGACGGCCUUCGGGUUGUAAAGCUCUGUUAAUCGGGACGCGGUACCGGAAUAGAAAGCCACGGCUAACUACGUGCCAGCAGCCGCGGUAAUAC